rnacentral:rRNA from 1 species
AUUGAACGCUGGCGGCAGGCCUAACACAUGCAAGUCGAGCGAGCGGCGGACGGGUGAGUAAUGUCUGGGGAUCUGCCUGAUGGAGGGGGAUAACUACUGGAAACGGUAGCUAAUACCGCAUACCAUCGGAUGAACCCAUAUGGGAUUAGCUUGUAGGUGAGGUAACGGCUCACCUAGGCGACGAUCCCUAGCUGGUCUGAGAGGAUGAUCAGCCACACGGGAACUGAGACACGGUCCAGAAUCCUACGGGAGGCAGCAGUGGGGAAUAUUGCACAAUGGGCGCAAGCCUGAUGCAGCCAUGCCGCGUGUAUGAAGAAGGCCUUAGGGUUGUAAAGUACUUUCAGCGGGGAGGCGUUACGCGCAGAAGAAGCACCGGCUAACUCCGUGCCAGCCGCCGCGGUAAUAC